GACGGUUCAUUCCGCUGAGGUGACCCUUAAAAAAUCAAGGACUAAGCUGAAGUAUAGUGUGUGAGUGAGGGUUUAAGAAAAAAAAAGUAUCUUAAAAAUCUUCUUUAAUGCUCUACUGAUGGAAAAAAAAGUCUUUUAUAGCCUGAUGGCAAAUAAAAUUCUGUGUGAACUAUCCCUUUAAUUUGGGGGUUGAAAGCAGGCGGACUUCUGCAUUCAUUAGAUCUGCAUAUUUUUGAUUGAAACCCCAGUCUGAGAGGUUUCUAUUGGCCGGUUACAGAAGCCAGUGGUGUUUUAGUCAAAAAUCUGGUUUGUUUUCUUUCUGCAAACUGACCCUGAAGGGAUUAAAGUGCGACAUGCGCAGAUCUGAUGUAACUCGUGUUUCUUUUUGAAGCUCAAUACUGACCUUAGUCUAGGAUCAAUAUACAGGACAAUACAAGCAGAUGGACCUCAUUCAUGAAAAAUUGAUUCUGCUUGUAUUUCGUUCAUGAUUUUGGAGUAAACACAAGAUCUACCCUGAUUAAGGUCUGUCACUUAUUAUUCUCACAGUAUUUCAUGUUUUUACCUGCUGCUGCACAUAUUCCCUUAAUUUAAAGGGUUAGUUCACCCAGAAAUGAACGAUCUGUAUUUAAUUACCUUCAUGUUAAACCCCCUGAGACCUUCAUUUAUCGACAAAACUCAAAGGAAGAUAUUUUAGAUGAAAUCCUGGAGCUCUCAUCUUCCAUAGGCAGUAAUGGUCACAAAGUAUUUAAAGUUCAAAAAGGCAUCAAAACAUUGAGUCUUCGGUGGUUUAAUCGUGAUGGUAUGAGGCAAUGAGAACACUUUUGUGUAUGCAAAAAAUAUUUAAAGACUUUAUUCAGCAGUUUCUUCUCUUUAUUUUAAGUUCAGGACAUGCGUUCACGAGAACUCUGUUCACUAUAAUGCAUGUUGCGCUUUUUUUCCCAAGUCAAUAUUUAUUUAUUUGUAUUAUUUUGCACACAAAUCUAUUCUUGUAGCUUCAUAAUACUAUGAUUGAACCACAGAACUUGAUUCUGAACGUCUCUUGCUGUCUAUGGAGGAUCAGAGAGCUCCAGGAUUUCAUCUAAAAUGAAUUAAUUUGCUGUUUUUCGAUAAAUGAAGUUCUCGGAGGGUUGGAAUGACAUGAUGGUGAGUGAUAAUAACAGAAUUGUUAUCAUUUUAGUGAACUAACCCUUUAAUGGGCCAGAUAUAGUUUGGUUUAGCAGCCCUGAAAGUCUUCAGUCAUUUUUGUGAGCCAGAAUGUGAAUAAUGGUGAUGGUUGGUGUUUGUUACUGUAUUCUCAAAGUCACUGGAGCUGCUGAUGAUGAAGAUUUGCAAUAUACAGAACCACUGGCUGGAUUCAGCAAACAACCGGCGCACAAACAAAAAGUGACUUGAGAGAUGAAAUCGAACAGCCUCAGACACAAAGAGUAAAACUAUGAAAGCUGUAGCUGAGGAUUAAGAAUCUGCAGAUACACGCUGGAGAUAUACUGACAUUGACUUGUGUCUGUUUUUUUUGGUGGAGAUCGUCAAUAAUGAUCAAUUUUUCGUUUGUUUUUAGAGAUGAACAUUGAAAAGCUGGAUUUGUAUAUCCUAUUGGGAUUCGUGGCGUUCCUCACAGCUUCUUAUUGAGUUAAUGAAGUGAAGUUUCUUCAGCAUUUGGCGGUGAAGUAAAGAGCGCUGUGGAUAUUUUUGUAAAAUUGUACAAGAAACUGUUUGGAGAUGCAAAUGUUCGGCCUGUUGAAGUAUUUGAUACCAGUAAUGUAUUAAAGCUAGCUGUAACAAUGCUGUCGCUCUCGGUGGAUUUUUAAUAGAUCAUGUUUUUGUUUUAUAAGCCAAGCGUUUAAGCGUUUUAUGAGAAACAAUGUCUUUUAGAGUGAAAACACUGGAGAAGGGAGCCAGAUCGGUCUCAAAAAUAUUACGUUUACAAAAAAUAAAUCAUACAUCUAUAACACAAUUCACAUUUCCAAAAUCCAAUUUCAAAAUGCUAUUCGUAAAUACACAAAUCCAAUUCGUAAAUUCAAAAUGGGAUUCAUAAAUACACAAAUCCAAUUCGUAAGUUCAAAACACAAUUCGUAAAUACACAAACCCAAUUCUUAAGUUCAAAAUGGGAUUCAGAAAUAUGCAAAUCCAAUUCGUAAUUUUGAAACACGAUUCGUAAAUACACAAAUCCAAAUCGUAAAUUCAAAAUGGCAUUCAGAAAUAUGAAAAUCAAAUUUGCAAGUUUAAAACACGAUUUAUAAAUACACAAAUCCAAUUCGUAAGUUUAAAACACAAUUCGUAAAUACACAAAUCCAAUUCGUAAGUUCAAAACGCAAUUCGUAAAUACACAAAUCCAGUUCGUAAGUUCAAAAUGGGAUUCAGAAAUGUGCAAUCCAAUUCGAAAGUUCCAAACACGAUUUGUAAAUACACAAAUCCAAUUCGUAAAUUCAAAAUGGGAUUCAGAAAUACACAACUUCAAUUCGUAAGUAUAAAACACAAUUCAUAAAUACACAAAUCCAAUUCGUAAGUUCAAAACACAAUUCUUAAAUACACAAAUCCAAUUCGUAAGUUCAAAACGCAAUUCGUAAAUACACAAAUCCAGUUCGUAAGUUCAAAAUGGGAUUCAGAAAUACACAACUUCAAUUCGUAAGUAUAAAACACAAUUCAUAAAUACACAAAUCCAAUUCGUAAGUUCAAAACACAAUUCGUAAAUACACAUCCAAUUCGAAAGUUCAAAAUGGGAUUCAGAAAUAUGCAAAUCCUAUUUAUAAAUUCAAAACACAAUUCCUAAAUACACAUCCAAUUCGUAAAUUCAAAAUGGGAUUCAGAAAUAUGCAAAUCAAAUUCGUAAGUUUAAAACACUAUUCAUAAAUACACACAUCCAAUUCGUAAAUUCAAAAAAGGAUUCAUAAAUAUGCGAAUCAAAUUCCUAAGUUUAAAACACGAUUCAGAAAUACAAAAAUCCAAUUCGUAAGUUCAAAAUGGGAUUCAGAAAUGUGCAAUCCAAUUCGAAAGUUCAAAACACGAUUUGUAAAUACACAAAUCCAACUCGUAAAUUCAAAAUGGGAUUUAUAAAUGCACAAAUCCAAUUCGUAACUUCAAAAUGCUAUUCGUAAAUACACGUCCAAUUCGUAAAUUCAAAAUGGGAUUCAGAAAUAUGCAAAUCAAAUUAGUAAGUUUAAAACACAAUUUAGAAAUGCACAAAUCCAAUUCGUAAAUUCAAAAUGGGAUUCAUAUAUACACAAAUCUAAUUCGUAACUUCAAAAUGCUAUUCGUAAAUACACAUCCAAUUCGUAAGUUCAAAACACAAUUUGUAAAUACACAAAUCCAAUUCGUAACUUCAAAAUGCUAUUUGUAAAUACACAUCCAAUUCGUAAGUUCAAAAUGGGAUUCAUAAAUACACAAAUCAAAUUCGUAAGUUUAAAACAUGAUUCAUAAAUUCACAAAUCUAAUUCGUGAAUUCAAAAGGGAAUUCAGAAAUUCACAAAUCCAAUUUGUAAGUUCAAAAUGGGAUUCAGAAAUAUGCUAAUCCAAUUUGUAAGUUCAAAACACGAUUCAUAAUAUCCACAAACCUAUUUGUAAAGUCAAAACGCUUCAUAAAUACGCAAAUUCAAUUCGUCAAUUCAAAACACGAUUUGUAAAUACACAAAAAAUCAAUUCGUAAGUUCAAAACACAAUUUAAAAAUACACGAUUGCAAUUAAUUUGGCUGAAAUAUCUGUGAUUUUUACUUGUGAAUUCACAAAUUGUGUAUUGUAUUUAUGAAUUGUUGUGAAUUUACCAAUUUUAUUUUUGUAAAUGUGUUAUUACUGAGACUGAUCUGGCUCCAUACCUGGAGAUGAUAGCUGUGCGUUAUGCAAGAAUGAAUCACGGUGUGUUUGUGUAGCUGCUGUACAGCGUGUGUGUGUGUGUGUGGAUGAAAAUGGGCCGUACUUUAACUGUGGCUCAUCACAGAUGUAGACGGACUGAUCUAGAACCUGUGUGAGGUUUUUAUUGAUUUUUUUUUUUCUGUCUCAAGCUCGUCUUCUGGUGAAGCAUUUGUCAUCUUCAGUUUCUUGAUCAAUAAAAGUUGGUAUUCA